rnacentral:rRNA from 2 species
AACUCUGGUAUGAUUGAUGCUUGCUCAUGAAUUACAUUUGAGUGAGUGGCGAACUGGUGAGUAACACGUGGGAAACCUGCCCAGAAGCGGGGGAUAACACCUGGAAACAGAUGCUAAUACCGCAUAACAACUUGGACCGCAUGGUCCGAGUUUGAAAGAUGGCUUCGGCUAUCACUUUUGGAUGGUCCCGCGGCGUAUUAGCUAGAUGGUGAGGUAACGGCUCACCAUGGCAAUGAUACGUAGCCGACCUGAGAGGGUAAUCGGCCACAUUGGGACUGAGACACGGCCCAAACUCCUACGGGAGGCAGCAGUAGGGAAUCUUCCACAAUGGACGAAAGUCUGAUGGAGCAACGCCGCGUGAGUGAAGAAGGGUUUCGGCUCGUAAAACUCUGUUGUUAAAGAAGAACAUAUCUGAGAGUAACUGUUCAGGUAUUGACGGUAUUUAACCAGAAAGCCACGGCUAACUACGUGCCAGCAGCCGCGGUAAUACGUAGGUGGCAAGCGUUGUCCGGAUUUAUUGGGCGUAAAGCGAGCGCAGGCGGUUUUUUAAGUCUGAUGUGAAAGCCUUCGGCUCAACCGAAGAAGUGCAUCGGAAACUGGGAAACUUGAGUGCAGAAGAGGACAGUGGAACUCCAUGUGUAGCGGUGAAAUGCGUAGAUAUAUGGAAGAACACCAGUGGCGAAGGCGGCUGUCUGGUCUGUAACUGACGCUGAGGCUCGAAAGUAUGGGUAGCAAACAGGAUUAGAUACCCUGGUAGUCCAUACCGUAAACGAUGAAUGCUAAGUGUUGGAGGGUUUCCGCCCUUCAGUGCUGCAGCUAACGCAUUAAGCAUUCCGCCUGGGGAGUACGGCCGCAAGGCUGAAACUCAAAGGAAUUGACGGGGGCCCGCACAAGCGGUGGAGCAUGUGGUUUAAUUCGAAGCUACGCGAAGAACCUUACCAGGUCUUGACAUACUAUGCAAAUCUAAGAGAUUAGACGUUCCCUUCGGGGACAUGGAUACAGGUGGUGCAUGGUUGUCGUCAGCUCGUGUCGUGAGAUGUUGGGUUAAGUCCCGCAACGAGCGCAACCCUUAUUAUCAGUUGCCAGCAUUAAGUUGGGCACUCUGGUGAGACUGCCGGUGACAAACCGGAGGAAGGUGGGGAUGACGUCAAAUCAUCAUGCCCCUUAUGACCUGGGCUACACACGUGCUACAAUGGAUGGUACAACGAGUUGCGAACUCGCGAGAGUAAGCUAAUCUCUUAAAGCCAUUCUCAGUUCGGAUUGUAGGCUGCAACUCGCCUACAUGAAGUCGGAAUCGCUAGUAAUCGCGGAUCAGCAUGCCGCGGUGAAUACGUUCCCGGGCCUUGUACACACCGCCCGUCACACCAUGAGAGUUUGUAACACCCAAAGUCGGUGGG